rnacentral:lncRNA from 1 species
GGCCGGGAGCCAUCCGGGGGGAAGCGUUUAGGCGACGGCCGCCGCGGGCGGGCUGAGGAAGGCGGCGGUGCGGUGGCUGCUACUUCAGGGACCUGUGGGAUUUAAGAAUAUCUCUCCUCUAAGAAAAUUUGCUGCUUCUACAGCCUUCCAUCUUAGUGGGCAAUUGAUGAUUUCACUUGAAAUACUUAUCUGAAGAAAUUAACAGUAGGCAA